rnacentral:lncRNA from 1 species
AGCGUGAUCUUCCGGGUCAGGGCUGAGAGACAGGGUCUCACUAUGUUGUCCAGGCUGGACUCACAACUCAAGGGAUCCUUCUGCCUCAGCCUCCAGAGUACUUGGGACUACAGGUGCGAGCCAUCAUUCUCAGUACAGACAAUUUCCAAUCAUUCAUUAAUUGAUCAUAGAGUUUGUAAAGUUUCAAGAGUCCUUGUUUUCUGUUGCUCCUGCCUGUUAAACAGUCUUACUUUUAUCUGUA